AUGAACGCUGGCGGCGUGCUUAACACAUGCCAGUCGAACGGAAAGGCCCAAGCUUGCUUGGGUACUCGAGUGGCGAACGGGUGAGUAACACGUGGGUGAUCUGCCCUGCACUUCGGGAUAAGCCUGGGAAACUGGGUCUAAUACCGGAUAGGACCACUUCUUGGAUGUUGUGGUGGAAAGUUUUUUCGGUGUGGGAUGAGCUCGCGGCCUAUCAGCUUGUUGGUGGGGUAAUGGCCUACCAAGGCGUCGACGGGUAGCCGGCCUGAGAGGGUGUACGGCCACAUUGGGACUGAGAUACGGCCCAGACUCCUACGGGAGGCAGCAGGGGGGAAUAUUGCACAAUGGGCGCAAGCCUGAUGCAGCGACGCCGCGUGGGGGAUGACGGCCUUCGGGUUGUAAACUCCUUUCGCUAGGGACGAAGCGUUUUUGUGACGGUACCUGGAGAAGAAGCACCGGCUAACUACGUG
rnacentral:rRNA from 1 species